CCUCUAUGCAAAGCUGACGGGAAAUCUAUUAUUCAGGAAAAAGUGAUUGGGAUGUGGCAAGAGCAGUGGGAUAGUAAUGACACUGGCAGACAUCUUUACUGUGUGCAAAGAAAUGUGGGAGGGGGUAGAUCUAGGGAUGGAAGUAGGAGAGAAGAGGCAAUGCUGACACGUUUAAGGAUUGGCCAUUCAGGUCUCAAUAGAUCUUUAUUCCGUAUAGGGAAACAUCAGACAGGAGGUUGUGAUUAUUGCGGUCAGCCAGAAACAGUUGAACAUGUCCUAAUAGAGUGUAAUAAUUAUAUGGAAGAGCGUAGUUGUUUAACAUCAGUCCUAUAUAAAGAAGGGAAAGCGCUUACUUUAGUUAAUCUAUUAGGAGAUGUAUCUAAAAGUGUUAAAAAUCAAGUUAUGAGGUUUCUCAAAAAUACGGGGUUGUUCUACCGUAUUUAAUAUGUACAUAUUUAUAUCAUAAGUAUGCGCAUAGGUGAAUAAUUCCCUCUGACUAUUCUCGACGACCACACUCCUGUCUGGUAGAUGGCGGUAAAUGCACCUUAAGUUGGUUUGCCAACCGCCAGUUAAACUCUAAAAGAAGAAGAAGAAGAAGGAUAAUCGGGGGAGAAGCACGAGUGAAGUCAAUAAUGAGCGAGCCGGAGUUGCAUUGACUAGACAAAAAACCAGGCGCAGCAGAAAUCUUCGGACCACUUUGUCAUUUUAAAAUCAUUUAAAAAAUUUUUUAGGACAAAUCUAUGAUUUCAACACAAGUUUUCUGGAGGAUCUGCUGCUGUUCAUCCAGAAAAGUGAAAGUUUGCACGGAAGCAUGUCACCAUCAUGGAAGUCCUGCCACAACUUCAAGCAAUAAACAAAAACAUCCUGGAAGAGCACUUGCAGUCCAUUGGAGUCGAGACGUAUGAUGAUCUAAUGUUCAUAACGGAGGCUGAUUUGUUGACUGCAUUAAGACCUGUAGAAGCCAGAAAGCUUCUUUCUGUUUGGAAAAACACCACACACCACCACACAACUAUUCAGAAUCAAAAGCAGACAUGGACAUUGUGUAAUAUUGUACAGUGUGAAUCAUUAUAAUCUUAUAAACUAAGAAAAGCUCACUAUCAUCUGUGGAAGCCUCAUCUUCCCAAUCGCUCUGUUCCACCCCAAAUUUCCUCGUCAACCUCCUCCAGCAGCCCAGGACUUGACACACAUUGGGAUGACAACUUUGAAAUUCCAAUUUCCUGAGGAAGUGAUGCAUUCUCUGGAGAGGGGAAAAAGGCCCGGCACAAAACUGAGGCAGCAAAUGGUACGGACUGUUAUGACUGAGAUGAUGGAAAAAUCAUCUCAACACCCAAAAUAAGAAAAAGAAAACAUCAGACUGAUGUCCCAGACCAGACCUAAAUACAAAGUGAGUAUCAUAUUUAAGCCUAAAUAUGGACUCUUUCUGUUUGUUUGAGAAGAGACCUGACCUGUAACUUGGCCUAUUGGCAUCACCUGAUUGUCUCUAUGGAGAUCGAUAAGUCUUACUGUGGAACAUUCCAGACAGGGAGAGUGUGCGUUGUUGUUGUGCGCCUGGCACUUAAACUUUGUUAAAAAAUAACUUUUCAAACUUGCUUUGAAAAAAAAAAAAAUGCAUCCAGUCGUUUACAACUCUUUUGAUGGCUGCUAAAUAAAUUUUGCAAAAGUGA